rnacentral:rRNA from 1 species
AUUGAACGCUGGCGGCAGGCCUAACACAUGCAAGUCGAGCGGAUGAAGGGAGCUUGCUCCUGGAUUCAGCGGCGGACGGGUGAGUAAUGCCUAGGAAUCUGCCUGGUAGUGGGGGAUAACGUCCGGACACGGGCGCUAAUACCGCAUACGUCCUGAGGGAGAAAGUGGGUGAUCUUCGGACCUCACGCUAUCAGAUGAGCCUAGGUCGGAUUAGCUAGUUGGUGGGGUAAAGGCCUACCAAGGCGACGAUCCGUAACUGGUCUGAGAGGAUGAUCAGUCACACUGGAACUGAGACACGGUCCAGACUCCUACGGGAGGCAGCAGUGGGGAAUAUUGGACAAUGGGCGAAAGCCUGAUCCAGCCAUGCCGCGUGUGUGAAGAAGGUCUUCGGAUUGUAAAGCACUUUAAGUUGGGAGGAAGGGCAGUAAGUUAAUACCUUGCUGUUUUGACGUUACCAACAGAAUAAGCACCGGCUAACUUCGUG